ACGACCAGCCACACUGGAACUGAGACACGGUCCAGACUCNUACGGGAGGCAGCAGUGGGGAAUUUUGGACAAUGGGCGCAAGCCUGAUCCAGCAAUGCCGCGUGCAGGAAGAAGGCCUUCGGGUUGUAAACUGCUUUUGUACGGAACGAAACGGUCUGGGUUAAUACCCUGGGCUAAUGACGGUACCGUAAGAAUAAGCACCGGCUAACUACGUGCCAGCAGCCGCGGUAAUACGUAGGGUGCAAGCGUUAAUCGGAAUUACUGGGCGUAAAGCGUGCGCAGGCGGUUUUGUAAGACAGUCGUGAAAUCCCCGGGCUCAACCUGGGAAUUGCGAUUGUGACUGCAAAGCUGGAGUGCGGCAGAGGGGGAUGGAAUUCCGCGUGUAGCAGUGAAAUGCGUAGAUAUGCGGAGGAACACCGAUGGCGAAGGCAAUCCCCUGGGCCUGCACUGACGCUCAUGCACGAAAGCGUGGGGAGCAAACAGGAUUAGAUACCCUGGUAGUCCACGCCCUAAACGAUGUCAACUGGUUGUUGGACGGCUUGCUGUUCAGUAACGAAGCUAACGCGUGAAGUUGACCGCCUGGGGAGUACGGCCGCAAGGUUG
rnacentral:rRNA from 1 species